rnacentral:rRNA from 1 species
GGCCUAACACAUGCAAGUCGAACGAAGUGCCUUCGGGUGCUUAGUGGCGCACGGGUGCGUAACGCGUGGGAAUCUACCCCUUGGUUCGGAAUAACAGUUGGAAACGACUGCUAAUACCGGAUGAUGACGUAAGUCCAAAGAUUUAUCGCCGAGGGAUGAGCCCGCGUAGGAUUAGGUAGUUGGUGUGGUAAAGGCGCACCAAGCCGACGAUCCUUAGCUGGUCUGAGAGGAUGAUCAGCCACACUGGGACUGAUACACGGCCCAGACUCCUACGGGAGGCAGCAGUGGGGAAUAUUGGACAAUGGGCGCAAGCCUGAUCCAGCAAUGCCGCGUGAGUGAUGAAGGCCUUAGGGUUGUAAAGCUCUUUUACCCGGGAUGAUAAUGACAGUACCGGGAGAAUAAGCUCCGGCUAACUCCGUGCCAGCAGCCGCGGUAAUACGGAGGGAGCUAGCGUUAUUCGGAAUUACUGGGCGUAAAGCGCACGUAGGCGGCUUUGUAAGUAAGAGGUGAAAGCCCAGAGCUCAACUCUGGAAUUGCCUUUUAGACUGCAUCGCUUGAAUCAUGGAGAGGUCAGUGGAAUUCCGAGUGUAGAGGUGAAAUUCGUAUAUAUUCGGAAGAACACCAAUGGCGAAGGCGGCUGACUGGACAUGUAUUGACGCUGAGGUGCGAAAGCGUGAGGAGCAAACAGGAUUACAUACCCUGGUAGUCCACGCCGUACACGAUGAUAACUAGCUGUCCGAGGACUUGGUCUUUGGGUGGCGCAGCUAACGCAUUAAGUUAUCCGCCUGGGGAGUACGGACGCUAGGUUAAAACUCAGAUGAAUUGACGGCGGCCUGCACAAGCGGUGGAGCAUGUGG